AGCCCAAUAGGGUUGAGUUAAUUAAGCAGUCCAUAUUAGGGCAAAAAAUUGGGUAAAUUUGGUCCAGUAUACAAAUGGGCUAAUUUUUUAAGCUAAAAAUGGGCUUUUAUAGCCGUUGGGCAUGCGAGGCCCUCUGAGAAAAAUGGCGACGAGUUUGUUUCGUUCUCGCGCUAUCCACCUCCCAAACGCCGCCGUUCUCCGCCUCUUCUGUUCCACUACCGCCGCCGCCGAUCACCACCACUAUGAAUUCUCCUCCGAGACCGACGCUCUCAAGCCAACACUCCCCGAAAUGGAGCCCUCUACCGACGCCGAUUUGGUGUCUCAGAUUCUCCUCCAACACCACAACCCCUUCCACCCCAUGGAAUCCGUGCUUCAGCUCCGCGGCAUCGCUCUCUCCCCGUUCCUCAUCCACCAAACCCUCCUCCGUCUCCGACACUCCUCCAAAGUUGCCUUGGCGUUCUUCCACUUCUCGCAGUCCUGCCCGGGUUCCCCCCUCGACGCCACCGCCUUCAAUCUCCUCAUCGACACCCUGUGCAGAGUCCGGCAGUUCGACGCCGCGUGGCAGCUCAUCAUUCAGAUGGAACACCGGAAAAUCUCGCCCAAUUUCACAACAUUUUAUCUUCUGAUUCGGCGGCUCAUAGCUGCCGGGUUGACUCGCCAAGCCAUUCGCGCCUUCAGCGAGAUGUAUAUUUUUAUCGAUGAUAACGGCGAGGAAGACGUCUGGAAUUCCUACUUUUGCUAUCUCCUCGACUCCCUCUGUAAGUACGGGUACGUGAGAGUGGCUACUGAGCUGUUCAACAAGGAGAAAUGGAGGAUUAGUGUGAAUUGCAAGAUAUAUACAGUCUUAAUAUAUGGUUGGUGCAAGGCGAAGAAGAUAGAGAUGGCGAAGUCGUUUCUCGGGGAGAUGAUUACCAAAGGGAUAGACCCGAACGUGGUGACGUAUAAUGUGUUGUUGAAUGGGAUUUGCAGGAGAGCCAGUUUGCAUCCGGAUGGGAGGUUUGAGAUGGUGAUCAGGGAGGCAGAGAAGGUGUUCGACGAAAUGCGGCAGAGAGGAGUCGAGCCUGAUGUUACCAGUUACUCAAUUUUACUCCAUGUAUAUAGCAGGGCACACAAGCCCGAGCUUUCCCUAGAGAAGCUGAGGAUGAUGAGGGAGAAGGGAAUAUGCCCCACCAUAGCCUCAUAUACAUCAGUGAUCAAGUGUCUGUGUUCUUGUGGGAGGAUUGAGGAUGCAGAAGUGUUGCUUGAAGGAAUGGUGGGCAGUGGAGUCACCCCCAUAGCAGCCACUCUCAAUUGCUUUUUCAAGGAGUAUAGAGGCCGGAAAGACAUCGAUGGGGCAUUAAGGUUGUAUGGUAGAAUGAAAGAUGGGUCCUUGUGCUCACCUAGUGAGACCACAUUCAACAUAUUAUUGGGGAUGUUUGUGAGCUUGGGAAGAUUGGGGCUUGCUAGGGAGAUUUGGGACGACAUGAAAGGCGGCCCCAUAGGGCCGGAUUUGGAUUCUUACACCUUGAUGAUUCAUGGGCUUUGUAAGAAGAAGAGGUGGAGAGAUGCUUGUGAGUUGUUCAUGGAAAUGAUAGAGAAGGGGUUUCUUCCACAGAAGGUUACAUUUGAAAUGUUGUAUGCAGGGUUAAUACAGUCUGAUAUGUUGAGAACUUGGAGAAGAUUAAAGAAAAGACUUGAUGAGGAAUCCAUAAGUUUUGGCUCAGAGUUUGAAGGAUAUCAUUUGAAGCCUUAUAGGAGGUAACAAUCAGAUAGUCCAUGAAAUGCGUGCUUGAGAGUUGAGAUCCACACUAUAGAACACAUGUUUACGGGUGCGAAAAUUGGAUGGCUUCCAAGUUCGACAACAUCCAACUUGGCCUCUACGACCGCCAAAUGGCAUUGCUCCGCGUUGUUUGGUCUAGGUUCAUGUAGUCUUGGUAAGGGAUUCAGAAGCCUGAACUGAAGCAUUAUGGAUUUAUGGUUGUUUUCAAGAAUGGUAUUUUCUUGCCUACAACUUCUCUAGAAUACAAGUAUUGUAGGAUUGAGAUGGAAUAGCCACACAAUUUUAUACUAUUUAUCUCUCAUACUUGUUGUCACAUAAAGAUUGAGGCUUUUGCUCAAAAGCCCUCUCCUUUUUGUACCUUUCUUUGGCUUUUAAUGAAGCAGCACAUCUGCACAUGGC